CUUGGGAGGUUCCAGAGCCAGCACCAGUGAUGGUGGGGCACAGUGGUGGGGAGCCCAGCGCCGACCCUCCUGCAGGGCUGCUGGAUCUCCUGAAUGCUAAUGCAUCGUUAAGCCCAGCCAAUGGAUCUAAAUUGAUGAAUCGUUGAGGAUAAGAUGUGAAGAGCCUCGUGUGUGAAAAUGAAGUCCCAGGCAAUCACGAUUUACUGUUUAAUGUUAUUUCUGGCCCCAGAAUGUUCUCAUCCUAGAUCCAAGAC